UACAGAGGGGGCAAGCGUUAUUCGGAAUUAUUGGGCGUACAGGGCGCGUAGGCGGCUUGGCAAGUGGAUGGUGAAAUCCCUCGGCUUAACCGAGGAACUGCCGUCCAAACUGCUUCGCUUGAGACCGGGAGAGGUGAGUGGAAUUCCCAGUGUAGCGGUGAAAUGCGUAGAUAUUGGGAGGAACACCAGUGGUGAAGGCGGCUCACUGGACCGGUACUGACGCUGAUGCGCGAAAGCGUGGGGAGCAAACGGG
rnacentral:rRNA from 1 species